AACAGGAUUAGAUACCCUGUAGGUCACACCGUAAACUUUGCUCACUUCGCUGUUGGCGAUAGACAGUCAGCGGCCAAGGGAAACCGAUAAGUUAGCCACCUGGGGAGUUCGCACGCAAGGUUGAAACUCAAAAGAAUUGACGGGGGCCCGCACAAGCGGUGGAACAUGUGGUUUAAUUCGAUGAUACGCGAGGAACCUUACCUGGGCUUAAAUGUGAAGUGCAUUGAUUGGAAACAAUCAUUUCCUUCGGGACCCUUUACAAGGUGCUGCAUGGUUGUCGUCAGCUCGUGCCGUGAGGUGUCGGGUUAAGUCCCAUAACGAGCGCAACCCCUAUUGUUAGUUACCAGCGCGUGAUGGCGGGGACUCUAGCGAAACUGCCGGUGUAAACCGCGAGGAAGGUGGGGAUGACGUCAAAUCAGCACGCCACUUAUGUCCAGGGCUACACACGUGUUACAAUGGCCAGUACAGCGGGCAGCUAGGCAGCGAUGUCAUGCUAAUCACGAAAGCCGGUCACAGUUCGGAUUGGAGUCUGCAACCCGACUCNAUGAAGUGGAAUCGCUAGUAUCGCCUACACCCAUGCGCGGUGAUACGUCUCGGGCCUGUACGCACCGCCCGUCNGCCAUGAAGUCUGG
rnacentral:rRNA from 1 species